AAACUUUCAACAACGGAUCUCUUGGUUCUGGCAUCGAUGAAGGACGCAGCGAAAUGCGAUAAGUAAUGUGAAUUGCAGAAUUCAGUGAAUCAUCGAAUCUUUGAACGCACAUUGCGCCCCUUGGUAUUCCGGGGGGCAUGCCUGUUCGAGCGUCAUUA
rnacentral:rRNA from 1 species